GUCAUUGUGCCUGUCCAGAGGCCUCUCAUAACUACUAAAACUCUUCUCUCUAAAGCUCAAAGUUCAGAGAAGAAACUCUAGGCUGUCCUUUGUAAGGAGUGGCCCAUGAUAGGUGAAAGAAUAGGCAACAGAAUCCAUGAUGACUGCGUGAAGGGUUCUAUCCAUUUGGAACAAAGGCAACUAGGAAUCUAUCCCAGAAAAAAGCAUGGUUCUGAAACCUUUACUGAUGCUUUGAUUAUCUACAGAAUCCCAUAAGAAAGAAACUUUAGAAGCAGAGACUGGAGAGAAUCUGAUCCCCUAACCCAGAUGAGGCAGCAUCACACUAAGGAGUGCUUACUUUCUGCCAGUCCCAAUGAUAAUCCAGUGUAAGGUGAGAAGAGCUACCUAUUUCAAUGUUGCUGUUGGAGGGAGGGGAUCUGGAGAGUGAAAUGGAAAGAUAGAGAACACUAUGAAGUAUUCACAACAGAAUCUGUCUGCUGGGCUCUGUGAACAUAUAUAUUUCUUCUUUUUAUAGUAAUUUUUCAUUUGGUAUUCAUUUGUGCAACUGAUAAUGUUAGUAAAUGGACAUAAACUUUAGUCCCAAACUUUGGACUCAAGUGUUUGAAUAUGUAUUUGUACCCUGAAUUGAAA